rnacentral:lncRNA from 1 species
CAAAUCAAACAAUGAAGCAAAAGCUCCUCUGCUCGACGGAGACACGAGCGUCCACCGUAUUGGCACGCUCCUCCAAGCUAGAAAGUGUCAGCAAUCUCAGGCGAGUCCGACGAGCUUCUCGCUGAUCUCCCAGAGCUUCCUCGCCUUCUCCGGGUCGCUGGCCUCCUGCGAGAGCUGGUUCUCGAACGACGCCGAGUCCUUGUUCCAGCUCCAGUACACCCCCGACUUGGUGAGGCUGGGGUCGCUGACCACCUGCGCCAGCCUCUUGCCGGACUCCGCCUCCGAGACGAACCCCUUGGUGAUGAACUUCUGGAACGGCGGGAAGAGCAGGCGGAAGAGCGGGAUGUGCUCGCGGAACAGCCCCGUGGUGGCGAUGCACCCCGGGUAGAGCGACGCGAAGGUGAUACCCGUCUCCUCGUGGUAGCGGCGGUGGAGCUCCUGCAUGGUGAGCAUGUUGCAGAUCUUGCUGUCCUUGUACGCCUUGGCGCCGUCGAAGCUCUCGGAGCCGUCGAUCAUGGCGGACCCGUUCUGGCCGCGCAGGCCGCCGGCGAGCCCCCGGAGGUCGCCCAGCCCAGCCUUGGGCGGGAUGUUCCCGGCCAGCGUGUUGGUGUUGCCGGUGAUGGAGCCGAGGAUGAUGAGGCGGCGCGACGGGUAGUCGGACUUCUGGAGGUCGUCGAGGAGCAGGCGCGCGAGGAGGAAGUGGCCCAGGUGGUUGACGCCCACGCUCAUCUCGUACCCGUCGGCGGUGAACGUCGGCGUCCGCGCCGUCGGGCGGUAGAUGGCGGCGUUGCAGACGAGGGAGUCGAGCGGCAUCCCGGCGCGGCGGAAGUUGUCGACGAACUGGCGGACGCUGUCGAGGGAAGCGAGGUCGAGGUGCAUGAUGGUGUAGCUGCCCUCCGCCAUGCCGGCGCCCUUGGCGGCCUUGGCCGUCUUGAGGAAGUCGCGGCAGGCCAUGACGACGUGCCACUUGCCCGUCUCCGCCAGCGCCUUGGCCGCGGCCAGGCCGAGCCCCGACGACGCGCCCGUGAUCACCACCACGCCCUGGCGCAGCGUCUUCUUGCCGUCCUUGGUCGCCGUGCUGGCACCCGGGGUGGCCACGGGCGCCGUCGCCACCGCCUGCGCCCUCACCGAAAGCGACGGCACCUGCAGCUUCUGCACACGCACCAAAUUUUAACAUCACUUAAAUUUCAACAGCUAAUCGAUCGAGCAUUGUGUUGAUGUGCAAUGCAGCAGGCGCUGACCUUCUGGGGAACGCUGAGGAAAGCCGCCGUGUCCUUGACGACGGCGGCGAGGUUGCCCUUCUUGGGGACGGAGAGAGUGGAAGGGAGGAGAGCAGCCUGCAGAGCCAUGGCGGACGGUUUGGAGCGUAGCUAAGCUGAGUUCAGCUGAGCGACAGCGAGACGCGCUGU